GUGAGCCUCCACACCCAGCCACGUGCUUCAGCCUGACAGUGACACUUUCUGCUUACAUUGCUUGGCCAGAGCAAGACACAUGGUCCUGUUUAACUCCAAAGAGAAGUGCAGCCUUCCAUGUCCCCACCCUGCCCCAAAAGAGGAGAAUUGUAUCAGAGUGAACAACACUAAUGAUUACCUGAAAGGUUUCAUGAUGAGGUGGUAUUAGUGGUCUUUCUUUGUGGUUGUAACAAGCAGCCAGAGACGCAUGGCAGCUAGGUCAGCUCCCUCUCUCACUCUCCUUCUACCCCCGUCCACCUCUCUCUCACCUUCCUUUGUUUCACAAUGCAAUGGACGCUUAUCAUGACACAACCCAACAACUAGAAUAUUAUUAUUAAUCUACACCUACCUCUGUGUUCCUCUAUGUCACUCCAUCCCUCCCUUCUUCCUUAGUUGUUGCCAUUAUCUCAAUUUGUGGUUAAGAUCCUAUUGCUUAAGCUACUUUUUAACAAUCAUGCACACACAUCAUGCAGAUGCCCAAAUAAUAUGUUUAAUUUUUUGUUUUUAAACUAUAUAAAAAUACUAUCAUAUUGUAUAUUGUCUUCUGGUGCUUAUUUUUUCCUAUGACAUUAUGUAACUACUGUUCUCCUGUGCUGUCCCACAUUCAUUUUUGAUGCUAUUGAAUUUACAUUGUAUGAAUAGAUCACAUCUUGUUUUUCCACUCUCCCAUUGCCAUUUGUUUUGUCUCCAGUUUUUUUUCCAAUAAAA
rnacentral:lncRNA from 10 species